GUCCUGAUGCCUUUUACUUUUAUUUGGUUUUUUACAAAACAUAAUUGUAAAUACCAAAAAUCUUUCUAGUGUCUAGAUACUUUUAUUUAAAACUAAUUUAAAAUUUAGUUAAAAAUGUAAUGCAACAACGCACAUAAGAGAGAAACUAAUAGCGGUUGACCUGUAUUUCAAGAUCAUGACAGACUUACAGGUAUCUUUCGGCUUUCGAGACUAGACUUUUCAGUUUUGGUGCGGGGGGUAAACAUAACGAUCACGCAGAUAGAGCAACUUUUCAAAAAACACAAAUGUCAAGGUGGUGUGUGGAGCACUACGAAAGUAGAUGGGCCAGAAGCCCUUGUACAUCCCAUGAAUUCCUUCGGUUUUAAUGAUCCUAGUAAAGCAAUCCACCAGGCCUUUGUACAUGAUUCCACGGCCCUUUUCAUCCACUGGCUGAUUGUACAUCCGAGUGGUGACCACGUCAAGGGGUGAAUUGGCCACCGCCACAAAGGUGCCCGACGUUAAGCCGGCACAGAAAGAUAGGAGAACCGGAUGGGAGACCCAUCCAUUAUCCUUCAGAAAUGCCUUGGCCUUAGGAAAGGUGCCGAUCUGGACACUGGAGGCAACCAACGUUCGAUUCAGGCUUGGUAGUGCUGCGCGCCAGAAUCCGGAAAUGCCAUUGGUCCGGUAAAUGUGCUGCAGGGCAUCUAUCAUCGAGGUGUGCUUGUGCUGAAAUCCCACGGCAAUGGACUGAACAGCCUGGGCAUGCUGUUGCGCCUUUAUCUACAAUGGAAACAUAUCAGAUCGCAAGUUCUAGGCGAUGUAGUACUACUCACCAUGUAGAAGGGACUGGCGAAAUAGGUCCCCGUACAUCCGCCAAGAGCUCCAAAGAACAUGCCCUUGUAGAAGGAUAUGGAGCCAUCCUCAUUCUGCAAGUAUCCCAGCUCCAAUGCGUUCGAAUAAACACUUAGCCUAUCAUAAGGAAAGGGUAUUUACAAUGCAUUUUGCUUAAAUUAACUAUUUUUAAGAGUAAAGGUAACGACUUAAUUUAAAUGUUUAUUACGCCACAACGGUAGAUAAGAUAAGAGUGCAUUUAUCAUUAGUUCGGGAGACUUAAAAGUAACACCAUACAUUACUUGGCAUUGCAUAAGUGCAUGGUCACUUGUAAAUAAUUUGUUUAAAACUCCCUCUAAUAUACAUAGUAAGAAUAAAGUUUAAUGACUUAGAUGUGUAUGGUUGGAAA